ACAAAAACACCGGAAGUACAUGUUUCCAAGCAACACAAGGGCUCGGCAACAAGAUGGGGAGCAUACCAGAUCAAACUGUUGCAGAAAAAAUUAAAAGUAAAAGAAUAUUUAUAAAUCAUGUGGACCAGUAUCAGGGAAAAAACAUGGCAAUGUUUUUGUCAACCUGUGUUGUUGGAGCAUCACUGGAAGAAGCCGAGGAAGAAGAUGAUGCUCGUUCAACAUCCAGCUCAGUGAUCCCAGUACCAAAAGAAGGCUGCUAUGAAAUCAUUGGCACUCUCAAGAACAGAGAAGCUAAGAAGCCAGAUUGGGUCAAAGAAGUUAUACUGUUUGAGAACAAGAAUCAGCUGUAUGAACACCUGGUGGAAUGUGAAGUUAUUGUGUAUGACAUCACUGAGGACCCAGACCAGAUAGACGAGGCUGUGUGGGCAGUUUCAGAAUUACAUUCGGAUCUGGAGAAACUGGAUAAGCCAAAAAUGUUCAUACUGAUAUCAUCCAUUAUGACAUGGGCCAAAAGUAAACCCUUAGAUCCAGAUGAUCCUGAGAUUCCAUUCACAGAAGAUGACUAUCGAAGAAGGAAACCUCACCCAAACUUCAAGGAGCACACCAGUGCAGAGAAAACUGUCAUAAAACUGGGCAAAACAAACAAAGCUAAGCUUGUGACAUAUGUUGUGUGCUCUGGUCUUACUUAUGGAGCCGAAGAAAACAUUUUCCACUAUCUUUUCAAGUCAGCAUGGCACAAUAAAUCACAGCUUCAGUGCUUUGGAAAUGGUCAGAAUAUUGUGCCAACUAUUCACAUCAAAGAUCUUGCAGGUGUUAUUCAAAAUAUUGCUGACUCAAGACCAAAGGUUCGAUACAUUAUUGCCAAAGAUGAUGGACAGAACAGUUUGGAGGAAAUUGUCAAGACCGUAAGUACAGAGCUUGGUUCAGGAAAAGUUGAGUACAUCACAAAGGAAGAAGCUCUUCUUAAUAAGGACAUUGAUCAAGCUGACUUUGACCAGCUGUUAGUCAACCUGAGGAUGGAUGCUGUCUACGUCAAAGAGAACAUGCGUGUCAACUGGGUUUCUGAAACAGGCAUGGUUGAAAACAUAAAGAAUAUUAUCAAAGAAUACAAAAGUACUCGCAAAUUACAGCCAAUACGAAUAGCGAUCCUUGGAUUCCCAGCAUCAGGAAAGUCAACAGUGGCCAAACAGCUGUGUGACUACUUUAAACUGCAUCAUAUCAAGAUCAAGGACGUCAUUGAUGAUGCCCUGGAAUCCUUGCAAGCGAAGGCUCGACGAGCUGAUUCUGAGGAGGCGGAGGAUGAUGACGGGUCUGCCGUGGAGGCGCAGGAACUGCUCGAUCAGAUAGCAGAGAGCAAGGAGAACAACGCCGGCCGCAUUGACGAUCAGUACAUUAUCCGCUUCUUCCGCGAAAAGCUGCACUCCAUGCCGUGUCAGAACCAAGGAUUUAUUCUUGACGGUUUCCCCAAGACACAAGAACAAGCCAAGGAAUUAUUUGCUAAUGAAGAGGAUGAAGAGGAGGAAACGUCAAAGGAAACCAGCUACGACCAGACCAUCAUGCCGGAGUACGUGGUGUGUCUGGAGGCCACGGACGAGUUUCUCAAACAGCGGGUGAUGAAUCUUCCUGAGAGCGUUGUCAGCGGCACACACAACACGGAGGCUGGCCUGUUGCGCCGCCUGUCAGAGUACAAGACUCUCAACACAGAAGAUGACACCGUCCUCAACUACUUUGAUGAGCUCGAGAUUCAUCCUCAUAAAAUAGAUGUAACCAAAGACACUUCAGAAAUGAUGCAGGGCACCGUAGAAAAAUGCAAGAAAAUCAUUGGCAAACCUAGGAAUUAUGGUCCAACACCUGAGGAGUUGGAAGAAAUGAAACGUAAAGAAGAAGAAGAGAGACUGAAAAAGGAAGAAGAUGAGAGGUUGGAGAAGGAGAGACGAGAGGCAGAGGAGGCAGCCGAGAAAAAGCGAAGACAAGAAGAAUGGGUUUUGAUGAAACCUUUCUAAGGUUCCCUGAGACUGUAGGAGGUGGUAGGCUCUAGAUCUAACCUGGUGGUUCCUUAGCAAGAUCAUGACCUGGUGAAACAAAAUUGACAUAAAAUGUCAGCACUGGUCAGACCGAAUUACCACAGGUCGAGAGACUGACCGAAGUGAGACGCGAGGAAUAUGAGAUGCUGGAAGCGAAGUCUGUUCCAUUACGGAACUUCCUCAUGAAGCACGUCAUGCCAACCUUGACUCAAGGCCUCAUCGACUGCUGCAAGGUCCGA
rnacentral:misc_RNA from 1 species